rnacentral:miRNA from 14 species
UCUUGUCUGAUCUCGGAAGCUAAGCAGGGUUGGGCCUGGUUAGUAUUGGAUGGGAGAC